CCCAUUUCUCUCUGUCUCUCUGUCCCCCAUUCCUCUCUCUUUCUUUGUUCUUUUUUCUUUUUAAUAAUUUAAGUAUACUUUAUACUCCCAUCUCUUUCCACUUAGCUGCAAGCCCGAAACCAUUCUUCUUCAUCUCUCCAGAUUCUCCUCUUCCUCCUCUUUCUUCUUCACUUCAUCAUAGCAGCAGCUGAAAAGAAUAGUUUCGGCAAAAGUCUCUCUCUCAAGUCCCAAACUUUGAAACCCAGUAAAUUUUUUUCUUUAAAUUGGUUGCAACAUUUACUUAAUUUCAUAUUUCCAGGUGAAGUUGGAUUUGCAAGUCAAUCUUGAUCAGCAAAGAAAAAAGAAGAAGGAAAAAAACUUAUUCCAGAUUUCCAGGUUUUAUUGUUCUAUGCUAAAGCAUUUUUAUAAAAUGUCAUGUUUGCAGAAAAAAGCAUUUUGAUGAAAUUUCAAAUACUGAAAGAGAAUAACAAUCUGCUCAAGAGUCCUUUAGAACUGAUUACUUUUUUGUUUUAGUUGAUAUGACUCUUUCUCAAUUAAAAAGCAGGUUUGAACAAAUGAAAACUUUUGAAUCUAUUUUUGGCUUCUUGUUUGAUGCAUCUAAGUUAGCUUAUUUGGAUGAUGAUGAAUUGAAAAGCUGUUAUUUGAAUCUUGAAACUGCUUUGAGAAGUGGUGAGGGUUCUGAUAUUGAUGCGAAAUAUUCACUUAUGGAGUUACAAAUUUUGCCGGAGAUGUUGUCGAAUGAGGCAUAUGAAACAAAUAGGCCUUGGACAUCCAUUCAAAUUAUGGAGUUUGCAAAUAAAAUGGAUAUGUUUCCAAGUGUUAUGGUUGCCUACAUGAUUUUAUUGACUAUACCGGUGACGGUAGCAUCUGCUGAAAGAAGUUUUUCGAAAUUACAAUUAUUAAAAUCUUAUCUGCAGACUACCAUGACUCAAGAUAGACUGAAUGGAUUCGCUAUUUUAACCAUCGAAAGAAAUAUGUGGCAAAUGUUGACUAGGAAAAGAUAAUUGAUGAUUUUGCUUAAAAGAAAUGCAAGAAGAUCAACAUCAUUUUAGAUGAUUUGUAAACUUUUUUAUACGGGGUUUUGGUUUUAUUUCCUCAAUGUUGUAUAAUGUUUAUUUAUGUAA